UACGGAGGGGGCUAGCGUUGUUCGGAAUUACUGGGCGUAAAGCGCACGUAGGCGGCUUUGUAAGUUAGAGGUGAAAGCCCGGGGCUCAACUCCGGACUUGCCUUUAAGACUGCAUCGCUAGAAUUGUGGAGAGGUAAGUGGAAUUCCGAGUGUAGAGGUGAAAUUCGUAGAUAUUCGGAAGAACACCAGUGGCGAAGGCGACUUACUGGACACAUAUUGACGCUGAGGUGCGAAAGCGUGGGGAGCAAACAGG
rnacentral:rRNA from 1 species